UCCUGCCAGUAGUCAUAUGCUUGUCUCAAAGAUUAAGCCAUGCAUGUCUCAGUGCAAGCCACAUUAAGGUGAAACCGCGAAUGGCUCAUUAAAUCAGUUAUGGUUCCUUAGAUCGUACCCACGUUACUUGGAUAACUGUGGUAAUUCUAGAGCUAAUACAUGCAAACAGAGUCCCGACCAGAAAUGGAAGGGACGCUUUUAUUAGAUCAAAACCAAUCGGUCGGCUCGUCCGGUCCGUUUGCCUUGGUGACUCUGAAUAACUUUGGGCUGAUCGCACGGUCCCUGUACCGGCGACGCAUCUUUCAAAUGUCUGCCUUAUCAACUGUCGAUGGUAGGUUCUGCGCCUACCAUGGUUGUAACGGGUAACGGGGAAUCAGGGUUCGAUUCCGGAGAGGGAGCCUGAGAAACGGCUACCACAUCCAAGGAAGGCAGCAGGCGCGCAAAUUACCCACUCCCGGCACGGGGAGGUAGUGACGAAAAAUAACGAUACGGGACUCAUCCGAGGCCCCGUAAUCGGAAUGAGUACACUUUAAAUCCUUUAACGAGUAUCCAUUGGAGGGCAAGUCUGGUGCCAGCAGC
rnacentral:rRNA from 1 species